UUUUAUCUCACAAUACAUUUUCUUCUAUUCCUUUAACCUUUGUAUAAUCUUUCCAAUAGUUGCCACAAUUUUUGGCUACAAAAAUCGAUCAAUCACAAUCCAUUUCAAGAAUUCCACUUGAAAAAGGAAAAAAAAAAUAAUAUGUCAAAUUUUGAUAGAGGCAAAGAAUUGGUUGAGGGAUCAUCACCUGCAACGCCUAGUCGAUAUGAGUCUCAAAAACGUCGUGACUGGAAUACGUUUGGUCAGUACCUAAGGAAUCAAAGACCACCCGUUUCCAUUUCCCAAUGCAAUAGCAACCACGUGUUGGAGUUCCUUAGGUACCUAGACCAAUUUGGGAAGACUAAGGUUCAUUUGCAAGGUUGUAUCUUUUAUGGUCAACCCGAGCCCCCGGCUCCCUGUACUUGUCCGUUAAGACAAGCCUGGGGGAGCCUGGAUGCUCUCAUCGGGCGGCUCAGAGCCGCCUAUGAGGAGAACGGUGGCUCCCCCGAGACAAACCCUUUCGCGAGCGGCGCGAUUAGGGUGUAUCUAAGGGAAGUGAAAGAGUGUCAAGCAAAAGCAAGAGGAAUUCCGUACAAGAAGAAAAAGAAGAAGGCUAGUGAGAGCAAAGGAGAUGAUGAUUGCACUUCUUCUCACCCAUUUUCUUGAUCCAAAAAAUGAAAAGUGAUGAAUUGUGUCUUCAUGAGAAGGUUAUUGCUGAACACUUAAGGGAUUUGCUAUAUAUAUAGCUCUGGAAGAAUUAUGUUUCAUAUUUAUUAAGUCAUCAUUUGUUGUUUUUUUUAUAUAUAUAAGUGCCUUGAUUUCCUUUUUUUCUGCUAAUUAAUUAAUUAGCAGUCAUGUUCAAUCAGAGGCAUUUUCUUCAAAUUAUUACUGCUUAGUAAUUUAAAUAUUCUACUGUUCUUUCCCAUUAUAUAUUUCUCAGUUGUUUGUGAAUCCUAAACUAGUUCUAUUGUAAGAUGAUUAUUAUAAACUCUUUUUGUACAAUUAAGUGAUCAUUAAUUUGAAUCCAAACCCUACUGUACGUA